rnacentral:lncRNA from 1 species
GGCACUUGCAACUUUAUUGCGCCAGCAAGAACAUGCAUACAGCCCAGUCUAACGUACAGGAUCAAAAAGAGACCUUAUUUCGGCUGGCAAUUACCUUACCCGCUUGUUCAUUAUCUGACUCCUGCACUCCUCCCAAGUGUUCAAUGUUAACCAGAUGGCAAAGUUAACCAGACAGAGGAAAUCCACAUAAUUACUCUAGAUGAAGCCCCCUAACUGCGGAUUAGAAGGAAAAGAGAUGAAGGGUGCUGCACUAAUAAUAACAACCAUUUUCAACCAAGGCAGGAUUCUGGGCCUAGAAUCUUCAGUGACAAAUUACCAGGAGAGGAGGAGGGAAAUGAAGAGCUGGAGGCCUAGGGAGAUGGUGUGAGGAGAGGAGACUGUGCCUUUCCACUUCUUAAUAAUUAAUGUUCUCCUGCUGCUCUGAGUCUGCAUCACCAGUGAUUCAGUUUGAGUCAGACAUCCAACAACAACUGAGCAAAAGAAUCAUCUCAGAUCCAAGCAAUGGUGACGCGCAGAUAGAAGAGACUGAGGCCAACGACCAAAGCAAAGGACAGCAGAACUGACUGACACAGCUCAGAAAAUAUCCAAAGCUCUGUAUGCUCUGGAAAGGAAGACAAGAAAUGCUAAAGACUCUGGAUAUUGCUCUGUUUCUAUAAGGUCCCACCCAUAUACCAUCUCUUCUUUUGGAUUUCCUUUGGCAGGGUUCCCUUGUAUGGAAGUUCUCAGGAGAACAACACUCUCAGAGUCCCACUGUCUCAAAGAAUUCUUAAUGGACAGCUAUACUUGGCCCCAAGGUUUCAACCUCACACUGAAGAAAGUGACAUAAGAAAACACAAGUCCCAGUGCUAUCAGGGGCUAUCUGGAAAAGCUGCUUAAACAGCAAGUGAAAGAAGGCUCUCCCCUACCCCGUUCUAGUUAUAAACAUCACAUCUCUUAACAUACGGCCAAGAUGAUGAAGCUGAUGGAGUACGAUGGUGUUCAAACUUAGAUAAGCUAAUUCAAUAGACAACUAGAAAUGCCAAUGAGUCUAUCGUCCUAUGUAAGAUACACAUACCACAUGCUGUCAACCCAUCUGAGACACUCAGCUUUCAAAUGACAGUUCUUCUCUGAAGCUAACCUAGCCAAAAGAGUGAAAUACACUAUCUGUUAAGCUGUGUCAGUAGCUAAGUCUGUGUGUCUAAAUUAAAAACAUACUCACCCUGAAGUUAUUUGAAGGAUCCUUGAGACUCUUUUGGAUUGCUGCUUGGAGAACAUUCCUGUAACUUGUCCCUGCUCCUUGAACUAUAAAAGCAGAAGGGAGGUACUGAGUUAAAACUUACAAAUUAUUAUCAAAUAAAUCUUCAAUAGUGGUUCAGUCCAA